CAGUGAUCACUUUAACGGCCGCGGUACCCUGACCGUGCAAAGGUAGCAUAAUCAUUUGCCUUUUAAUUGGAGGCUAGUAUGAAUGGUCUGACGAGAGUAAAACUGUCUCAUAUAUAUUCAAUAGAAAUUAACUUAAAGGUGCAAAGGCCUUUAUAAUCUAAAAAGACGAGAAGACCCUGUUGAGCUUUAAUCUUAAUAAGCAUUUCUUCUAUAUUAAUAAAUUCAUUUUGCUUACUAAAGAUUUUAAUUGGGGCGAUUAAGGAACACUCACCAGCUUCCUGAUCAUAAACUAAACCGAUCCAGCAAUGUUGAUCAGCAAAGCGAGUUACCACAGGGAUAACAGCAUAAUUCUCCUUGAGAGCCCAUAUCGAAAGGAGAGAUUGUGACCUCGAUGUUGGACUAGGGUAACCAGAAGGUGCAGCCGCUUUCUUGUUUGGUCUGUUCGACCAAUAAUUCCCU
rnacentral:rRNA from 1 species